UUGAUUUGAAUACGUUAAUGGUGAUCUUUUGCAUUUGUCUUUCUCGUCAGACAUACAGUACUUACUUUUGUGCCCUGAAAUUUGGGUCGAGGAAUUCUGUGAUCACCCUGUUGGCCCACCAGGAUGCACUUCAUGCCAAUGAGAGUGAGAACGCCACCAAAGAAGCCAGUGAUGACCGCGGAGACUGCCAAUGCCCUACAUCCAUGCAGGAACGCUGCAAAGACACAUAUGAUGACUUCCAAGAACAUGUCCUUAUCUUACCAGGCAGGGCCAGCAUGGAAGGGUAAUCUUUGCAGUCGGACACCCCUGUGGUGUCUGAGAUGCAGUCCCUCCACAGGUUGGAGUAGUAGUUGGAGGUGGUCAGGACAAUGCUGCCCACCUCAGAGAAGGUCCAGUACUCUGUGGGAAGGGUAGAGCACACCAGGAUCCAGCCGCAAAGGCAGGACACAAAGCAGCCAAUUUCUGUGUACAUCACCACCGUCCUGUACUUCAUGUUUUGCCCAGUCAGCAUCAUUUGCUUUCCCAGAGCUCAGGUCCCCGAAUGAUGGCUACUUAAGUCAUCUUUUGUUUGUCUGCAUGUGGGACUUGUGAGACAAACUGGACUAACCAGACUAAAGUUGCUGCUGUCAUGGUUUGUAAAGUUAAACACCCACUUCUGAGUUGCGCAUCCAUUUUCUCAGGUGAGCUGUGGCCUACCCUAACUAACUAAAUUAUUUAAAAAGCAAGCCAAGUCAUUUUUGUUUGUAAUCAUUUCUUGUAUUCAUCUCCACUACAUGGUAUUCAAUCUAAUAUUGUGUUUUUCUACUGGGAGCAAAAUAAAGUUCAGUGUCUUGCUCAACGACACUUUGACAUGAUCACCGGGCUUGGGGAUUGAACCCACAACCUUCAAGAUUGGAGACUGAUUUAUUUAAUUUAUUUAAUUUUUAUUCGCCUAGUAACAAGAAACAUUUACAAUGGGCAGUUUGUUGAACUUAUGUCGUCAUUAAAGCAAGACCUUUGAUUUUUCCUACACUCACAAAAAACAAAAAUUUGCACAUCUAUUAUAAUUUGCUGCUUAAAUUCAAAGCUAUGAAUUGUUAUCAAGCUGUAAAUUGUUAGAACUACAUUUGGUUAAAAACACAAUGUUUACAUCAGUUGCCAUACAACAACUUAUAAAACUACUACAAAAUAUAGACAUGUAUUCAAACAUAUUUUAUUUUAAUCACAGGAUAUUCUCCUCGCAUCUCGGGUGAAGGAAAACCCCACUGCCAGUUCAGCAACUUUGCCGGUAGGGGGCACUGCCGCAAUUCAUCACCGCAAAUCUGCUCCGUUUUCUGGGCAACGAAUAAAAUGCUCGCUGGGUUAGAGCAGGUGUUGUCAACCGGUCCAGGAAUGCCUUGUAUGAUUUGUUUGUUGAAAUAAUGCAUGCAGUGUACACAAGUAGGAGUCAAAUUUUGUGAAACAGCCCGAUAAGUACUUGGAUAUUAUACGUGCUAACACUGACAAUUGUUUUUUUUACUCCAGGCCACGAACCAAGAGAGAUUCCUGCACUGAAGGCGCCUCCUCAUAACAUAAUGUUUUUAGGUAAGGGGGAGAAAAAUCAAAUGUUCUUUGACAAGUGGUGGAUUUUCAUCUCCUGAAAUUGGUGUAAUUUAGUUUGCUUGCAUUCUAUAAACUUCUACAAACUUUGUCAUACAAGUCUUAACCUGGUUUUAAUUGCCUAGUCUUUGUCUUGACUGGGGGACUCAACUUGUCAUGGCUUGGUAUUGACGUCUUGGUCAAAGGGUCUUGACUGCAACAUAGCUGGGUACAUUUACUCCAUUAAAAAAUACAAACAUGUCGUAAACAGCGUUCCAGCCUUAAGAACAGCGCCACACUGGUCUUCUGAAGUCAUUAAUGCAAGUCUGUGUCACUCAAAUGUAGGAGUUCUUUAGGAAAGCCGCUGUCUGACUCCUCGAGCCGCCGGACAAUGAUGACAUACGACUGCUGCGGAUGCUACGUGACCCGGACAGUGCUGAUGCACUGGAUCUGGACAAGCGGCCAGACUCUGAAGCUGACACUGAACUGGCAGAAGUGUUUGUUCGCAUCGUGCUUGACCCGCGCUCUGAUUGGACUGAACUUCCAGAUGUCAAUCCCGAAGAGAUGGCGGACAAGUUGGAAGGCACGGAUGACAGCUCGGAUACAGAGGAUGCUUUGGACUUGGAGGUGAUUCCAGAUACCGAGGACAGCUCUGUGGUGGACUUGGUUUUGGGGUCUUUUUCCACAUCUGGUAAUUUUCGGACAAUCACCCUGCAUAGAAAGAGAGGCACAGUUUCUCUGUCACUCUCCGUCUCUCUCUUUCUGUUAAUAAUUUCUUGACACGCAAAAGCAAAUGAAAAUGAUGUGUUGUAUUGGUAUAGUGUUGUUGAUUCUUGACUCACGUUUGUACUUGUCCAAAUAGUGGCCUGCACACGGACCACAAAUAGAAAACACCUCCGGCCAUUUGAAAGGCGGAGCCAACCCAACCGAGGAACAGCGGGGUGCCGAGGUCAAACCUAAGAUCAUUUAGGAAUGGGAUCAGUGUAAAGUCAGUCUGCUCAGUAUUUAAGAUUUUACUGACCUAAGUCCAAUAAAGUUUGGGUUGAAGUAUU